UUGUCUCAAAGAUUAAGCCAUGCAUGUCUCAGUACAAGCCGAAUUAAGGUGAAACCGCGAAAGGCUCAUUAAAUCAGUUAUGGUUCCUUAGAUCGUACCCACAUUUACUUGGAUAACUGUGGUAAUUCUAGAGCUAAUACAUGCAAACAGAGCUCCGACCGGAGACGGAAGGAGCGCUUUUAUUAGAUCAAAACCAAUCGGUGGCGAUUUACGUCGUCAUCGUACAACUUGGUGACUCUGAAUAACUUUACGCUGAUCGCACGGUCUUGCACCGGCGACGCAUCUUUCAAAUGUCUGCCUUAUCAACUGUCGAUGGUAGGUUCUGCGCCUACCAUGGUUGUAACGGGUAACGGGGAAUCAGGGUUCGAUUCCGGAGAGGGAGCCUGAGAAACGGCUACCACAUCCAAGGAAGGCAGCAGGCGCGCAAAUUACCCACUCCCGGCACGGGGAGGUAGUGACGAAAAAUAACGAUACGGGACUCAUCCGAGGCCCCGUAAUCGGAAUGAGUACACUCUAAACCCUUUAACGAGGAUCAAUUGGAGGGCAAGUCUGGUGCCAGCAGCCGCGGUAAUUCCAGCUCCAAUAGCGUAUAUUAAAGUUGUUGCGGUUAAAAAGCUCGUAGUCGAAUCUGUGUCCCGCGCCGCCGGUUCAUCGUUCGCGGUGUCAACUGGCGUGCCGCGGGACGUCCUGCCGGUGGGCUUAGCUCGAAAGGGCGGCCCAACUCAAUCCCGCCGCGGUGCUCUUCAUUGAGUGUCGAGGUGGGCCGGCACGUUUACUUUGAACAAAUUAGAGUGCUUAAAGCAGGCUAAAACUUCGCCUGAAUACUGUGUGCAUGGAAUAAUGGAAUAGGACCUCGGUUCUAUUUUGUUGGUUUUCUGAACCCCGAGGUAAUGAUUAAUAGGAACGGAUGGGGGCAUUCGUAUUGCGACGUUAGAGGUGAAAUUCUUGGAUCGUCGCAAGACGGACAGAAGCGAAAGCAUUUGCCAAAAACGCUUUCAUUGAUCAAGAACGAAAGUUAGAGGUUCGAAGGCGAUCAGAUACCGCCCUAGUUCUAACCAUAAACGAUGCCAGCUAGCGAUCCGCCGACGUUCCUCCGAUGACUCGGCGGGCAGCUUCCGGGAAACCAAAGCUUUUGGGUUCCGGGGGAAGUAUGGUUGCAAAGCUGAAACUUAAAGGAAUUGACGGAAGGGCACCACCAGGAGUGGAGCCUGCGGCUUAAUU
rnacentral:rRNA from 1 species